UCCAUCUUCAUCUUUUGAUAAUCUACUUCUUACUCCUUUUCAUCGAUUUGUUCUCAUUUUUUGAUUCAGUUACGUGUUGGUUUCUUGAUUGAGUUGUUCAAGAAAUCUUGAAAAUUAUGGUGAGAAACAACAAUGCACAAAAUCAAAAUCAAGAUCAAUGUCUUGAUCCUUGCUUCGUUGAUCUAUCAGAGAAUUAAACAAUUGUGAGUGUGACACCAAAGCUAACCGGAGAUAAUUAUCAUUCAUGGUCCAUGAAAUGCGAAGAGCAUUGGCUAUAAAGAACAAAUUCAAAUUUGUGGACGCUUGAAUUCGAAUUUCA
rnacentral:lncRNA from 1 species